UGUGAAAUCUCAAUGAAACCACAUUAAACCAUCUUAAACCUGUCACUGCUGAAGCGUUUGCAUAGAGAGAGUGUUUUACAUGAGCGACACACGCUUCAGUGCUCUGCAUGUGUUUAUAACUCUGUCAAACAUCAAACAUGAUCAACAACUGUUUUUCACUAGAACUGAACCUACAACCAACAAAAAUGACUUUCAGCACCAUAUUGAUCUGGACGCUGGCAGUAUUAUGUCGAGAAUCUGUUGGUCAGGUGACAGUGACUCAAACUCCCUCAGAGCUGCUCUCUCAAACUGGACAAUCAGUCACUGUGACCUGUAAAACUAGCAGUGAUCCAUACUGCUGUUAUGGAGAUGGGAAAGGAAAACCUCUUCUUAGCUGGUACUUACAGAAACCUGGAGAAGCUCCUAAACUCCUGAUUUAUUAUACAAUCAAACUCCAUUCAGGAACUCCAUCUAGAUUCAGUGGCAGUGGAUCUAACAGUGAUUUCACUCUGACCAUCAGUGGAGUCCAGACUGAAGAUGCUGGACAUUAUUACUGUCAGAGUUACCACUGGAUCAACAGUAAAGAUGUGUUCACACAGUGAUAAAGAGUCGUACAAAAACCUCCGUCAGUCAGAGUCACAGUGACUGAACUGAUACUGCAGCUGCUCACACACUUUCACACACUACUGACACACAGAGGACAAACACAGGAACUACACAUGUGCUCAAAACUGACUUA